rnacentral:rRNA from 1 species
UUAAGCGACUAAGCGUACACGGUGGAUGCCCUGGCAGUCAGAGGCGAUGAAGGACGUGCUAAUCUGCGAUAAGCGUCGGUAAGGUGAUAUGAACCGUUAUAACCGGCGAUUUCCGAAUGGGGAAACCCAGUGUGAUUCGUCACACUAUCAUUAACUGAAUCCAUAGGUUAAUGAGGCGAACCGGGGGAACUGAAACAUCUAAGUACCCCGAGGAAAAGAAAUCAACCGAGAUUCCCCCAGUAGCGGCGAGCGAACGGGGAGCAGCCCAGAGCCUGAAUCAGUGUGUGUGUUAGUGGAAGCGUCUGGAAAGGCGCGCGAUACAGGGUGACAGCCCCGUACACAAAAUGCACAUGCUGUGAGCUCGAUGAGUAGGGCGGGACACGUGGUAUCCUGUCUGAAUAUGGGGGGACCAUCCUCCAAGGCUAAAUACUCCUGACUGACCGAUAGUGAACCAGUACCGUGAGGGAAAGGCGAAAAGAACCCCGGCGAGGGGAGUGAAAAAGAACCUGAAACCGUGUACGUACAAGCAGUGGGAGCACAGAGCAAUCUGUGUGACUGCGUACCUUUUGUAUAAUGGGUCAGCGACUUAUAUUCUGUAGCAAGGUUAACCGAAUAGGGGAGCCGAAGGGAAACCGAGUCUAACUGGGCGUUAAGUUGCAGGGUAUAGACCCGAAACCCGGUGAUCUAGCCAUGGGCAGGUUGAAGGUUGGGUAACACUAACUGAGGACCGAACCGACUAAUGUUGAAAAUUAGCGGAUGACUUGUGGCUGGGGUGAAAGGCCAAUCAAACCGGGAGAUAGCUGGUUCUCCCCGAAAGCUAUUAGGUAGCGCCUCGUGAAUUCAUCCCGGGGGUAGAGCACUGUUUCGGCAAGGGGGUCAUCCCGACUUACCAACCCGAUGCAAACUGCGAAUACCGGAGAAGUUAUCACGGGAGACACACGGCGGGUGCUAACGUCCGUCGUGAAGAGGGAAACAACCCAGACCGCCAGCUAAGGUCCCAAAGUCAUGGUUAAGUGGGAAACGAUGUGGGAAGGCCCAGACAGCCAGGAUGUUGGCUUAGAAGCAGCCAUCAUUUAAAGAAAGCGUAUAGCUCACUGGUCGAGUCGGCCUGCCGGAAGAUGUAACGGGGCUAAACCAUGCACCGAAGCUGCGGCAGCGACGCUGAUGCGUUGUUGGGUAGGGAGCGUUCUGUAAGCCUGCGAAGGUGUGCUGUGAGGCAUGCUGGAGGUAUCAGAAGUGCGAAUGCUGACAUAAGUAACGAUAAAGCGGGUGAAAACCCGCUCGCCGGAAGACCAAGGGUUCCUGUCCAACGUUAAUCGGGCAGGGUGAGUCGACCCCUAAGGCGAGGCCGAAGGCGUAGUCGAUGGGAAACAGGUUAAUAUUCCUGUACUUGGUGUUACUGCGAAGGGGGGACGGAGAAGGCUAUGUUGGCCGGGCGACGGUUGUCCCGGUUUAAGCGUGUAGGCUGGUUUUCCAGGCAAAUCCGGAAAAUCAAGGCUGAGGCGUGAUGACGAGGCACUACGGUGCUGAAGCAACAAAUGCCCUGCUUCCAGGAAAAGCCUCUAAGCAUCAGGUAACAUCAAAUCGUACCCCAAACCGACACAGGUGGUCAGGUAGAGAAUACCAAGGCGCUUGAGAGAACUCGGGUGAAGGAACUAGGCAAAAUGGUGCCGUAACUUCGGGAGAAGGCACGCUGAUAUGUAGGUGAAGUCCCUCGCGGAUGGAGCUGAAAUCAGUCGAAGAUACCAGCUGGCUGCAACUGUUUAUUAAAAACACAGCACUGUGCAAACACGAAAGUGGACGUAUACGGUGUGACGCCUGCCCGGUGCCGGAAGGUUAAUUGAUGGGGUCAGCGCAAGCGAAGCUCUUGAUCGAAGCCCCGGUAAACGGCGGCCGUAACUAUAACGGUCCUAAGGUAGCGAAAUUCCUUGUCGGGUAAGUUCCGACCUGCACGAAUGGCGUAAUGAUGGCCAGGCUGUCUCCACCCGAGACUCAGUGAAAUUGAACUCGCUGUGAAGAUGCAGUGUACCCGCGGCAAGACGGAAAGACCCCGUGAACCUUUACUAUAGCUUGACACUGAACAUUGAGCCUUGAUGUGUAGGAUAGGUGGGAGGCUUUGAAGUGUGGACGCCAGUCUGCAUGGAGCCGGCCUUGAAAUACCACCCUUUAAUGUUUGAUGUUCUAACGUUGACCCGUGAUCCGGGUUGCGGACAGUGUCUGGUGGGUAGUUUGACUGGGGCGGUCUCCUCCUAAAGAGUAACGGAGGAGCACGAAGGUUGGCUAAUCCUGGUCGGACAUCAGGAGGUUAGUGCAAUGGCAUAAGCCAGCUUGACUGCGAGCGUGACGGCGCGAGCAGGUGCGAAAGCAGGUCAUAGUGAUCCGGUGGUUCUGAAUGGAAGGGCCAUCGCUCAACGGAUAAAAGGUACUCCGGGGAUAACAGGCUGAUACCGCCCAAGAGUUCAUAUCGACGGCGGUGUUUGGCACCUCGAUGUCGGCUCAUCACAUCCUGGGGCUGAAGUAGGUCCCAAGGGUAUGGCUGUUCGCCAUUUAAAGUGGUACGCGAGCUGGGUUUAGAACGUCGUGAGACAGUUCGGUCCCUAUCUGCCGUGGGCGCUGGAGAACUGAGGGGGGCUGCUCCUAGUACGAGAGGACCGGAGUGGACGCAUCACUGGUGUUCGGGUUGUCAUGCCAAUGGCACUGCCCGGUAGCUAAAUGCGGAAGAGAUAAGUGCUGAAAGCAUCUAAGCACGAAACUUGCCCCGAGAUGAGUUCUCCCUGACUCCUUGAGAGUCCUGAAGGAACGUUGAAGACGACGACGUUGAUAGGCCGGGUGUGUAAGCGCAGCGAUGCGUUGAGCUAACCGGUACUAAUGAACCGUGAGGCUUAACCUU